rnacentral:rRNA from 1 species
UACGUAGGGUGCAAGCGUUAUCCGGAAUUAUUGGGCGUAAAGAGCUCGUAGGCGGUUUGUCACGUCUGCUGUGAAAACUGGAGGCUCAACCUCCAGCCUGCAGUGGGUACGGGCAGACUAGAGUGCGGUAGGGGAGAUUGGAAUUCCUGGUGUAGCGGUGGAAUGCGCAGAUAUCAGGAGGAACACCGAUGGCGAAGGCAGAUCUCUGGGCCGUAACUGACGCUGAGGAGCGAAAGCUAGGGGAGCGAACGGG